rnacentral:rRNA from 1 species
GAUGAACGCUGGCGGCGUGCCUAAUACAUGCCAGUCGAGCGAACAGACGAGGAGCUUGCUCCUCUUACGUUAGCGGCGGACGGGUGAGUAACACGUGGAUAACCUACCUAUAAGACUGGGAUAACUUCGGGAAACCGGAGCUAAUACCGGAUAAUAUAUUUAACCGCAUGGUUCAAUAGUGAAAGACGGUUUUGCUUUCACUUAUAGAUGUAUCCGCGCCGCUUUAGCUAGUUGGUAAGGUAACGGCCUACCAAGGCGACGUUGCGUAGCCGACCUGAGAGGGUGUUCGGCCACACUGGACCUGGAACACGGUCGAGACUCCUACGGGAGGAAGCAGUAGGGAAUCUUCCGCAAUGGGCGAAAGCCUGCCGGAGCACCGCCGCGUGAGUGAUGAAGGUCUUCGGAUCGUAAAACUCUGUUAUUAGGGAAGAACAAAUGUGUAAGUAAAUAUGCACGUCUUGACGGUACCUAAUCAGAAAGCCACGGCUAACUACGUG